rnacentral:rRNA from 1 species
AUACGAAAGGUGCAAGCGUUGUUCGGAUUUACUGGGCGUAAAGAGAGUGUAGGUUGUUUAUUAAGUCGGAUGUGAAAUCCCGGGGCUCAACCUCGGAACUGCAUUCGAUACUGGUAGACUAGAGUUCGGGAGGGGUAAGCGGAAUUCCGUGUGUAGCAGUGAAAUGCGUAGAUAUACGGAGGAACACCUGAGGCGAAGGCGGCUUACUGGACCGAUCCUGACACUGAGACUCGAAAGCGUGGGUAGCAAACAGGAUUAGAUACCCCAGUAGUCC